rnacentral:tmRNA from 1 species
GGGGAUGUAAUUGGUUUCGACAGUAAUUUAGAAGUAUAAGCUGCGAGUAGUGGAUGGUUGCUUUGGCCACUUAAAAAAAGCAAAUUAAAUAUAAACGCUGAUAAUGAUAGAUUAGCAUACGCUGCCUAAUAGUGCGGCGUCGUUUUACCGUAAAGCCUACUGUUAUGGAUAAAGCGUCGAAUAAAGUAGGAAACGAGCUUACUUUUUGUUUCGAAGGUAAGGGGUAGCAUAGAAACUACUUAAAAUUUUUGUUUGUUUGUUAAUGAAAAUUUUAGGGAAAUCUAAUAACAAACUACACUCGUAGAUGCUUGUAUGGAAAAAUUAUUGGACGAGGGUUCAACUCCCUCCAUCUCCACCA